rnacentral:rRNA from 1 species
AGAGUUUGAUCAUGGCUCAGAUUGAACGCUGGCGGCAUGCCUUACACAUGCAAGUCGAACGGUAACGGGCCUUCGGGUGCCGACGAGUGGCGAACGGGUGAGUAAUGCAUCGGAACGUACCUUUCAGUGGGGGAUAACGUAGCGAAAGUUACGCUAAUACCGCAUAUUCUGUGAGCAGGAAAGCAGGGAUCGCAAGACCUUGCGCUGAUUGAGCGGCCGAUGUCAGAUUAGCUAGUUGGUGAGGUAAAGGCUCACCAAGGCGACGAUCUGUAGCGGGGUCUGAGAGGAUGAUCCGCCACACUGGAACUGAGACACGGUCCAGACUCCUACGGGAGGCAGCAGUGGGGAAUUUUGGACAAUGGGGGCAACCCUGAUCCAGCCAUGCCGCGUGAGUGAAGAAGGCCUUCGGGUUGUAAAGCUCUUUCGGCCGGGAAGAAAUCGCAUGGGUUAAUACCCUGUGCGGAUGACGGUACCGGCAUAAGAAGCACCGGCUAACUACGUG